rnacentral:lncRNA from 1 species
GGAGCAUGAAGCCCAGGCUUCCUGCCAGACCAACUCAGAAACUCUAGAGGUCCAGCCCAGGAAGACUCAUGGUGACAAGCCCCGCAUCUGAAAAGCACCAGGGUGAUCGGAGAGGAGCCUUUCCCCGAGGAAGGAGUGGGAGCGGUUAACAGUGUUCUCAGAGACCCACGAAAGCAGGAUGUUCCCACCCAAAGCGGACAGUGCUUCUUGGUAAUUUUUCUGAUUCUUUUAAGGGAAUAACGCUGCUGGCUUUGAAGAAGAGCUGUACCCCGAAAGCAACUACAGAAAUACACGUUCAGGUCUAGGCAUAAGGGCUGCAGCAGCUCAGGAAAUAAUAGUAAGAAUUGACAAGAGAAAUGAUCUGAAAUUAAAAAGCUUCUGCCUGGCAAGGGAAACAAUUAGCUGGGCAAAGAGACAGCUUCCAGAAUGGGAGAAAAUCGUGGCCUGCUAUGCAUCUCCAAGGGGAUUAAUAUCUAGGCUAUAUAAACAACUCAAAGAAAAAAAUCAAAGACAAAACACGCAAUCAAUAAACAAGCAAAUGAAAUGAGCAGACCCUUCUCAAAGAUGAAGUGCCAAUGGCCAAUAAAUACAAGAAACAAAUGUUCAGUAUUCUCAGCCCUCGGGGAAAUGCAAGUUGCAACCACAUGGAUUCCAAUCUCAUUCCAGUCAGAAUGGCCAUCACUGAAAACAAAAGAUAAAGGAAUGGAGAAGUCAGCGAUGAAACUGGAACUCCAAAUGAGAGAAUUCCUGUAGCCUGUCCUGCGUAGACAUCAACACUGCGGGAGCAGCAAAGACUUGUGGGCCUGAAGUAGUCAAGCUCAUUAACACAGCUUAAAGGAAGAUGUUCAAAGGCACUGGGCAGAGGUCUGACUUUCAGAGGAAUUCUCUGUUAAAUCUGGUGUGAAAUGGGAUUUGGCCCCAACACCCCAAGAGAUAAAGCCUGGCAAAGGCUGUUCCCAUCACUCAGUUUUUCUCUUGCUAUUUAAGGUUUGGGCUUUUUAUCCCUAUUUUUUCCUUUUAUCUGCCCUCUUCUGGGGAAACUCAAGGAGCCCUUAUGUCUAACUAUGCUGCUAUAGGGAGCAGAUUGCUGAGGCAGGCUCACUGUCAGCUGCCUCCCAGGUAAUCACUGGCUUUUAAUCUGGUUUCAGUGGCAAUGUGCUUGAACUCCUCCCUCUGCUCAGUUUCCAUGCACGCUCUUCCAAAGAGAAUUGCCAGGGAUGGACCUUCUAAGAGGCGCAUCCCUCCUGGCAGGUAAAGGAAGGGGAAGGAGAGAAGAUAGUGCAUAAAUGUGGCAUGAAAGUAAAAGGGUUUACUUUCUGCUCUGAUGGUUCUUUCUAAAGCAGGUCUGUUGAAAUCACAGAAUUAAAAAAAAAAAAAAAAACCCACAGUCAAUUUCUUCCCAUCAGAAACUCCCAUCAACAUCCAGACCUGGCAGAUGAAGAGAGUCGGGUCCUAUUCUCGUCGGCACACCACCAUAGGAAGUAAUGGGCCAGUGAGCUUGGGCUGUCUUGUUGAGAUCAGUUGACUCAAUGAGGAAUGAGUGUAUCUGGGUUUUCAUCUUAAUGAAAAGCAGCGAUGGCUGUUUUGAAACGCCCCACUUGAUCC